UGGGUUGGAAAAGCACGGAUGCCCUCUUCGAAAGAGGAGUAGGCUGCCUUCGGGUGAAACGUGGUUCAGGUGUUGCAUGGCUGUCGUCAGCUCGUGCUGUGAAGUGUUGGGUUAAGUCCCUUAACGAGCGAAACCCCUGUCGCUAGUUGCCAGCGGUUCGGCCGGGGACUCUAGCGAGACCGCCGGCGUUAAGCCGGAGGAAGGUGGGGACGACGUCAAGUCAUCAUGGCCCUUAAGCCCAGGGUGUCACACGUGCUACAAUGGGCGCUACAGAGCGAAGCGAUACCGCGAGGUGGAGCAAAUCGCAAAAAAGCGUCCUCAGUUCGGAUUGGAGUCUGCAAUUCGACUCCAUGAAGUUGGAAUCGCUAGUAAUCGCGUAUCAGCCACGACGCGGUGAAUGUGUUCCUGAGCCU
rnacentral:rRNA from 1 species